GAUCUUGUGUCUACUCGUAGGAUCGGACCAGAUCCAGGAUCGAUGCCAAGUCAGAUCCGUUUACCCGCCCGCAAAGCAAAGACCGUCCCGUUUUACGCCGGUCCCGUAACCAUGACAUCUCCUCCUCCAAGCGACGUCCCUCUUCCAGCCUUUUUCGCCGCAAAGAAGAGCACAUGACAUCUCCUCCUCCAAGCGACGUCCCUCAUCCAGCGUUUUUCGCCGCAAAGAAGAGCGUCUCUUUGUUCCAAGCCACCGACGCUACCAACGAAAUCAUCAGAAUGCUCCGCAUAAACAUCGCGUGACCGCGUAUCGCCGAUGUUCCACUGUUAUUCCAUUUUCGGAUCGAAUCUUUCAAAUAAAUCAUCUACAGACGAUGAAAUCGAGAAGGUGAAGAAACAGCAUCUUCAGUUAUGAAACCGUUUCGAAUCUUCCCUUAUUUUUUCAAGGGGCAAGGUCGAAAUAUCUUCUUAACAGGUCUUAGUUUCUCUUCGAGUUUAGUGUUUGUAUAGAGUACUUGUUCAUAGGCUUUCUUUUUUUUUAAUUGUGUCUUUGGGUAUCUCCUGUGUUAGUUGUCGGUUUACUUUAGGUUCGUCUUUCUUCUGUUGUUGUCUCUUGUUGUUCUCACUGUAGGCAAAGUAUCAGAGAUAUGUAUGUAUCUUUCUGGCAAUAUGCAGAUUACAGAUUCUGUAUUACUUUGAUCUUUCGAUGUAAGAUCAGUAUUUCCAUCUUUAUAUUAAUCGAAAUUAAGUUUUAUUUGGCUUUUAUUCCAUCGUUGUUCAGAGUAUUCUAUUCAUCCCUGAUAUCAAACUAAGCAUUACGAAGGCCUUGAUAUUUUGACAUUC
rnacentral:lncRNA from 1 species